GCGACGGGGUAACCCCGAGCUAAUCGUAAUAAAAGUGGCCCCAGUUCAGAUUGAGGUCUGCAACUUGACCUCAUGAAGUUGGAAUCGCUAGUAAUCGCGGGUCAGCACACCGCGGUGAAUACGUUCUCAAGUCUUGUACUCGGGUCGCCAUGCGAUCGAGUACGCAAGUUGGUGAUCAAGCACUAAUUUU
rnacentral:rRNA from 1 species